rnacentral:rRNA from 1 species
GACGAACGCUGGCGGCGUGCUUAACACAUGCAAGUCGAACGGAAAGGCCUGCUUUCCCUUGUGGAUUGCGGGUACUCGAGUGGCGAACGGGUGAGUAACACGUGAGUGAUCUGCCCCCAACUUGGGUAUAAGCCUGGGAAACUGGGUCUAAUUCCCGAUAGGACUGCAGGGUGGUGCCUGUGGUGGAAAACGAUUUUCUAGUGGUUGGGGAUGAGCUCGCGGCCUAUCAGCUUGUUGGUGGGGUAAUGGCCUACCAAGGCGGCGACGGGUAGCCGGCCUGGGAGGGUGGACGGCCACAUUGGGACUGAGAUACGGCCCAGACUCCUACGGGAGGCAGCAGUGGGGAAUAUUGCACAAUGGGCGGAAGCCUGAUGCAGCGACGCCGCGUGGGGGAUGACGGCCUUCGGGUUGUAAACUCCUUUCGACCGCGAGGAAGCCACCUGGUUGGAAGGUUGGUGACGGUAGUGGUAGAAGAAGCACCGGCUAACUACGUG